rnacentral:lncRNA from 1 species
AUGUCACCUCCUCAGGGAGUUCUUUCCCUGACGAUCCUGGCUAAAGUAGCAUCCUCCUCACCAACUGCUGUCUAUCCCAUUAUACUGUUUCAUCCUGUCCUAGGCAUGUAUCACCGUCUGAAAACAGGAUGUAUUCAUUCAUGGAUUUGUCCAUCUCCUCUACUAGGCAGCAGGUUCCAUAAGCAGGGGCUCAGAUUCAGACCAACGAGGUCACUGGCUUUCUCUCUCUGUUGCCGAUUACCAGCAGCCCAGCUAUGUCUCCUGAAAAAUCACAAAGCUGAGAAUCCAGGCAAUGGGAGACACUAUGGAAGACACUGAGUCACUCCUCAGAGGCCAAGGAUUUCUGAGUCCUUUACACAAAGCAGAUCCUCUGAGCCUGCUUUCCCCAGUGCCAAAAAAUAGGUAAAGCCACAGCCUCAAUUGAGGAAAAACUGCACACUCAAGAGCAAAAGAAUCUGCUCUCAGAUGCUUCUUCAGGCUACCAUUCUGCAUUCUGUGGGGGCAGAGAGCGUAUCACCACUGUCCAAACCAGGUUGCUUUCAAGCCAGGUGGUCUCAUGUUGAAAUUCUGACUCCACUGCUGAGUAGCUGUGUGACUUUGGCAUGCUGCCCAACCUUCCUGAGCACAGCUUCUGCAUCUAUAGAUGGUGCACAAUGAAGACUGAACAUGAAGGUUGUGAUGAGGAGUCAGUGAGAUCCCACAUGCUUCGCACAACUUCAAGGACAGAAAUGAACCUGUCUGUGUGCUGGCAGGAGUUGGGGUUGGAGCAGUAGGAUGUGGAGAGCAAGGUUUGAGUGAAACACGGACGUUUCCUGGGGAUGGAGCCACAUUUGGGGAUUGCCUGGCAGGGACUUAGGGUUACAGUGUGAACCCCUUGGUCCAUUAGAAUGCCUGAUUUUACUUAACAUUGUUCUCUAGCCUUAUGAGAGGACGCCUCAGAGCAGCCCACCAACAGUCCUGGAGCUAUAGAUAAGGCAAUGGUUUGGAGAUUCGGGAGGCCAGGGUUGGAGGCCCAGCUUUGGCACUAAUAAGCUGUGUGACAUGGAAUUAAUCAUUCGCCCUCUCUGGGCUCUGCCUGGUGUCAUCAUUUAUAAAAUGGGUCAUUCAUCUCUGACCUGCCAAAUCUAUGGGGUGGUUGGGAGGAUCAGAUAACGAUUCAGGUGCAAGUAUGCUUUGGGAAGCAUUAGCUUGCUAGUGAAUAAAACUAUUAAAACAGAAAGGACUAUGGGAAAU